rnacentral:rRNA from 1 species
GAUGAAUGCUGGCGGCGUGCCUAACACAUGCAAGUCGAGCGGCAGCGAAGGGUGCUUGCACCCUGUCGGCGAGCGGCGGACGGCUGAGUAACGCGUGGGAAUCUACCCUAAAGUGAGGGAUAACCGCCCGAAAGGGUGGCUAAUACCGCAUAUGAUCUUCGGAUUAAAGGAUUUAUCCGCUUUAGGAAGAGCCCGCGUUAGAUUAGGUAGUUGGUAGGGUAAUGGCCUACCAAGCCAACGAUCUAUAGCUGGUCUGAGAGGAUGAUCAGCCAGACUGGAACUGAGACACGGUCCAGACUCCUACGGGAGGCAGCAGUGAGGAAUCUUCCACAAUGGGCGAAAGCCUGAUGGAGCAACGCCGCGUGAAGGAUGAAGGCCUUCGGGUUGUAAACUUCUUUUAUGAGUGAAGAAUAUGACGGUAACUCAUGAAUAAGCACCGGCUAACUACGUGCCAGCAGCCGCGGUCAUACGUAGGGUGCAAGCAUUAUCCGGAGUGACUGGGCGUAAAGAGUUGCGUAGGCGGUUUAAUAAGUGAAUAGUGAAACCUGGUGGCUCAACCAUACAGACUAUUAUUCAAACUGUUAAACUCGAGAGUAGUAGAGGUAACUGGAAUUUCUAGUGUAGGAGUGAAAUCCGUAGAUAUAAGAAGGAACACCGAUGGCGUAGGCAGGUGACUGGACCAUUUCUGACGCUAAGGCACGAAAGCGUGGGGAGCGAACCGGAUUAGAUACCCGGGUAGUCCACGCCGUAAACGAUGGAUACUGGCUGUUGGAGGUAUCGACCCCUUCAGUAGCGAAGCUAACGCGUUAAGUAUCCCGCCUGUGGAGUACGGUCGCAAGACUAAAACAUAAAGGAAUUGACGGGGACCCGCACAAGCGGUGGAUCGUGUUCUUUAAUUCGAUGCUAAACGAAGAACCUUACCAGGGCUUGACAUCCAGGGAAUUUUUGGGAAACCAAUUAGUGCCUUUUGGAACCCUGUGACAGGUGAUGCAUGGCCGUCGUCAGCUCGUGUCGUGAGAUGUUUGGUUAAGUCCAUCAACGAGCGCAACCCUUGCAACUAGUUGGAUUUUUCUAGUUGGGCUGCUUCGGUAACGGAGA